CACCUUCCAGCCCAGUCCAGCUCCAAGCACCGCAGUGUCUUGGAACAAAAACAACUACCAAUGUGAAAGCUGAAGAUAAAAAUAAACACAAGUUCUUCUCUUCCGUCACAGGCUCAGUUGAAAUAUAAACCCAGUCCCAAGCAGAGAGGAGAUAAUCUUAGAUGUUGCCGCCAACUUGUUUACUUCCUUACUGUCAGAUGAUAAACGCUGGCAAGCCUUCAUCUCCUGUUUUACUCCUGAAAAUGCUGUUUUCCAGAGUUUGUCCUGUCAAAGUCAUGCUAAAGUGGACAUCAGCUAAGCACAAAUUCAAAGCAGGAAUAUCCCUGUCUUCCCAGACAAUACUGUGUGCUGUCCUCAGAAGAAUUUCUUUGAAGUCGAGAUGUCUUGAGCACAAAAUCUAUGAAUAGAUACUGAAGAAGGUGACUUGCGACAGCUGUGAGAUGUAUAAAGGGUGAUUUGCCCACUCAAUGAGAGCAGCAAAAUUGGAUUCAUUUUAUUUCCAUGCCAAAGACUCAUAGCCAUGUCUCCAUAUGUCCGUAAUUUUUUUUGUCUGUAAAAUUACUUUCCUACAAUAAGUAGGAAAGGUUCUGUAGGUCAAGGUUUAGAGACAUUCAUAGAAAGCAGAAGGAAAAUGUAGUAGCUGUAGCUUUGUCAUUGAGUUAUUUGUGAUAAGUCUAUAUGAACAUCCAGGUAUGAGAGAAAAUGACAGAUUUUAAAGCAAUCCUUUAGCUUAUUACCAAAAGCAAAAGCAGCUUUAAUUUAAGCUUCCACUUAGACAUCAUACCCACACUGUAAUUUCAAAUAAACAACAUUUAAAACUGCAGCUAACAAGA